GAUGAACGCUGGCGGCGUGCCUAAUACAUGCAAGUCGAGCGAACAGACGAGGAGCUUGCUCCUCUGACGUUAGCGGCGGACGGGUGAGUAACACGUGGAUAACCUACCUAUAAGACUGGGAUAACUUCGGGAAACCGGAGCUAAUACCGGAUAAUAUAUUGAACCGCAUGGUUCAAUAGUGAAAGACGGUUUUGCUGUCACUUAUAGAUGGAUCCGCGCCGCAUUAGCUAGUUGGUAAGGUAACGGCUUACCAAGGCAACGAUGCGUAGCCGACCUGAGAGGGUGAUCGGCCACACUGGAACUGAGACACGGUCCAGACUCCUACGGGAGGCAGCAGUAGGGAAUCUUCCGCAAUGGGCGAAAGCUUGACGGAGCAACGCCGCGUGAGUGAUGAAGGUCUUCGGAUCGUAAAACUCUGUUAUUAGGGAAGAACAAAUGUGUAAGUAACUAUGCACGUCUUGACGGUACCUAAUCAGAAAGCCACGGCUAACUACGUGC
rnacentral:rRNA from 1 species